CCGCCCUCAUCAAAUGCCUCUCCUCUAAGUCUAACCCCCUAACUCCCCACCCACAAACCCUAACUCCAUCCUCUUCUAUUUCCUCCUCGCGAACCACUCACCCCCACCUCUUACCUUCUCCUAAACUAACCACGACCACCAAUAUCUUUAUCCUCCUCCUCAUCUGAUCACCAGCAUCACUCUCAAAAACCUCUGCCUCAGCAACAAGUUUAUCUUCUAUCAAAAUUCGAAGCUUUUGAGCAAAAAUCUUGAAAAUUGGUAUCUAGGGCUGAAGAAAGGGCCAUGGAAAUUGGCGUUCAGUCUCGACAAGCGCAUUAUUUCAAGCUCCAUUCUCAUCUUCGACUCUGCCGCGAACAUCAUGUAGGUGAAUCACUCUCCUACUAAAAUUAGGGUUUUUGAAUUUUUCGAAUUACUGGAAUUAGGGUUUUCAUGUGAUUAGUUUUUUGUCAUUGUUUUUUAUGUCGAGUUUCAAUUGAUUUUUAUCCUAUUAUUUUGUUGGUAUAAUUCUAAAGGAUCAAUUUUGUGCUUGAAUUUGGUAAUGUAUAUAUUGGUUUUUUUUUAUUAUUAAUAAGUUUGAAGUAAAUUA